UACGUAGGGUGCAAGCGUUAAUCGGAAUUACUGGGCGUAAAGCGUGCGCAGGCGGUGAUGUAAGACAGAUGUGAAAUCCCCGGGCUCAACCUGGGAACUGCAUUUGUGACUGCAUCGCUGGAGUGCGGCAGAGGGGGAUGGAAUUCCGCGUGUAGCAGUGAAAUGCGUAGAUAUGCGGAGGGACACCGAUGGCGAAGGCAAUCUCCUGGGCCUGCACUGACGCUCAUGCACGAAAGCGUGGGGAGCAAACAGG
rnacentral:rRNA from 1 species